UGCUAGGUGCGAAUAAUCAACACUGUUCUGAUUGUGACGGUCAAACAGGUCACUGUCGGACCAGGUGUCAUCCUGGGUACUUUGACAAGACAUGCAGCUCGAAAUGCAGCCCGGUUGUCGCAAUGGCACAUGUGAACUCUCAAAAGACAAAGGCACUGAUAUAUGUACUGAGGGCUGUAUAGCAGGGUACCAAGGCAAUAGGUGUAAAGUAUUGUGUGACACACCCGUGGGAGGAUGUACUAAGUGUCCAGGUGGAUGUACUGACAGAUACUGCCAGCAGGGAACCUCCUGUGUGGCUGGAUGUGUGGACUCCUACUAUGGCAUUGACUGCAAGAACUGCUCCAUGAGAUGUCUCUCAUGCGACAGAUCCACAGGAACGUGCCAGGUUUGUCAAGCAACACAUUUUGGUCCGCAUUGCGAGCACAGAUGUGAGCAUUGUGUAGGAACGUGUCUGACAGAAUGUUUGGGGGUUGUGAAACCGGAUUUUACGGUCAUCAGUGUGAAAAGAUCUGCAGCAAACAUUGCAGAUUUAAUGCAUCUGGAGGACUGUUUUCACAAGGAAGGAAACCCGUGUUUGUCUGAAUGUGACAAAGUAAGCGGUGAGUGUAGACAUGGUUGUGUCAGUGGUUGGCAUGGCAACAACUGUUCUUCACCAUGUAACCCGAACUGUAAAGAUAUGCGAUGCGACAUUGAUGGUGUCUGUGCUGAUGGCUGUGUGUCUGGGAACAUUGGUAAAGAGUGUAAACCAUGCUCACAUAACUGCAAACAUGGCAUGUGUGGACCCACAGAUUGGUUAUUGUCUUAAAGGAUGCAUUUCUGGGUUUUAUGGUGACUUUUGUAACGGUAAGUUGUGAGAUAUGUCUUGGGGUACAUGUGAUCAGGUUACAGGAAUGUGUUUCCAUGGAUGCAAUAUCAGCGGCGGUGCCUGUGAGUCCACCUGCAAACACAACUGCUCCAGAGAAAGAUGUCUCAGGAGACAUGUGAGAAUGGUCAGCAACCGACACACGGUAUCUUGGGUAUGCAAUAGGAAUACCAACAGCCUUUGUCCUGUUUCUUGUGGGCAUACUGGCCACCAACUGCAUCUGUUACAGAAAAGGGCUGUGUACCAAGAGGGAGGCUGAAGGGGACAGUGUGAAUCCAGAACCUCUCCCACGGCAGCCAACUGCUUCAUCCAUGGAGUACAUGGAGCUACACAGAUACUGGGAAAUACCAGAGGAUGGCAGGGACAUGGAAUAUCAGACGAUCAAUGCAGUCUGACGUAGGGAUCGAUAUUCUGCAAAAUGCUUUCAGGACACAUUGGAUGCAAGUUAUCAAACUACACCAUGGGUGUUUAUGUUAAACCCAGAGUCCUACAUCCAUAUAAUGCGAGGAAUGGAUCAAUGAAAACAUGAUUAUGUGCAUAUAAAAUGUAUGUACUUUUCAUGCUCCACCAAAAGCACUGUGCACCAUUUGUUUGAUAAUUAUCUACAUCUAAACUUCGAUUAUAAAAUGUUUAUGAAACCAUCUCCUCUGUUUAAAACAUGGUUGUUUCUUUGAGUGCUUGUUUAAUAUAUAUGAGACAAUGUCACUUAUUACGUGAUGUUUUGUUCCAAUUUCUCAAAUCCCUCUCACUAAUUUGCUGAACAAACGAGUGGCAUUUAUCAGACUGCUUUUGAGGAUGUUGAAACCAUUCUCACGAAUUCUCCUCUUCUCAAAGCAUCACAUAUGAAAAGACCUUUCAGACUGGCUAUAGAUGCUUGUGACACUGGUUUUGUUGCACAAGCGUGAAUAAUGCUUUGACUUGUUAAGUGUAUGAUACUCCUCUCUCUCUGUAUAUUGCAAUGUGUCAGUGUUAAAUAUUACGAAAUAAUGUUUGAAGUAUUAUUUAUAUUCUACCUUGAUUUGCACUUUCACUCUACUCUGUACUCCCUUUGUUAAACGUUUGUAUUGAUUUGAAAACUUAGUUGAUUUUAAAAUACAAUUGUCAAUAACAGCA